rnacentral:rRNA from 1 species
GACGAACGCUGGCGGCGUGCUUAACACAUGCAAGUCGAGCGGAAAGGCCACUUCGGUGGUACUCGAGCGGCGAACGGGUGAGUAACACGUGAGUAAUCUGCCCCUGGCUUUGGGAUAGCCACCGGAAACGGUGAUUAAUACCGGAUACGACAACUUCUCGCAUGGGAUGGUUGUGGAAAGUUUUUCGGCCAGGGAUGUGCUCGCGGCCUAUCAGCUUGAUGGUGAGGUAAUGGCUCACCAUGGCUUCGACGGGUAGCCGGCCUGAGAGGGUGACCGGUCACACUGGGACUGAGACACGGCCCAGACUCCUACGGGAGGCAGCAGUGGGGAAUAUUGGACAAUGGGCGGAAGCCUGAUCCAGCAACGCCGCGUGAGGGAUGACGGCCUUCGGGUUGUAAACCUCUUUCGCCUGUGACGAAGCGCAAGUGACGGUAACAGGUAAAGAAGCACCGGCCAACUACGUGCCAGCCGCCGCGGUAAGAC